GCUGUACCUACAUAUUGCCAUU
rnacentral:miRNA from 8 species